rnacentral:piRNA from 1 species
UUGUUAUAUUAUUUUGGAAAU